AUUGAACGCUGGCGGCAGGCUUAACACAUGCAAGUCGAACAAGUGGCGGACGGGUGAGUAAUGCUUGGGCAUCUAGCUUAUGGAGGGGGAUAACUACGGGAAACUGUAGCUAAUACCGCGUACCAUAGGAUGAGCCCAAGUGGGCUUGGGUAGUGGGUGGGGUAAAGGGUAACCAAGCCGACGAUCCCUAGCUGGUCUGAGAGGAGGACCCGCCACACUGGGACUGAGACACGGCCCAGACGCCUACGGGAGGCAGCAGUGGGGAAUAUUGCGCAAUGGGGGCAACCUGACGCAGCCAUGCCGCGUGAAUGAAGAAGGCCUUCGGGUUGUAAAGUUCUUUCGGUAGCGAGGCGUUAACUACAGAAGAAGCACCGGCUAACUCCGUGCCAGCCGCCGCGGUAAUAC
rnacentral:rRNA from 1 species